AUUGAACGCUGGCGGCAGGCUUAACACAUGCAAGUCGAGCGGGGUGAUGGUGCUUGCACUAUCACUUAGCGGCGGACGGGUGAGUAAUGCUUAGGAAUCUGCCUAUUAGUGGGGGACAACAUCCCGAAAGGGAUGCUAAUACCGCAUACGUCCUACGGGAGAAAGCAGGGGAUCACUUGUGACCUUGCGCUAAUAGAUGAGCCUACGUCGGAUUAGCUAGUUGGUGGGGUAAAGGCCUACCAAGGCGACGAUCUGUAGCGGGUCUGAGAGGAUGAUCCGCCACACUGGGACUGAGACACGGCCCAGACUCCUACGGGAGGCAGCAGUGGGGAAGAUUGGACAAUGGGGGGAACCCUGAUCCAGCCAUGCCGCGUGUGUGAAGAAGGCCUUAUGGUUGUAAAGCACUUUAAGCGAGGAGGAGGCUCUUUUGGUUAAUACCCAAGAUGAGUGGACGUUACUCGCAGAAUAAGCACCGCCUAACUCUGUGCCAGCAGCCGCCGUAA
rnacentral:rRNA from 1 species